AUGCUGUGGCCAAGUUAGUAAAGCAUUGCUCUAACAAUGCAAAGGUUGAGGGUUCAAACCCCAGAGAAUG